rnacentral:rRNA from 1 species
GAUGAACGCUGGCGGCGUGCCUAACACAUGCAAGUCGAGCGAUUCUCUUAGGAGAAGAGCGGCGGACGGGUGAGUAACGCGUGGGUAACCUGCCCUGUACACACGGAUAACAUACCGAAAGGUAUGCGAAUACGGGAUAAUGUGCUUUUGUCGCAUGGCAAAAGUAUCAAAGCUCCGGCGGUACAGGAUGGACCCGCGUCUGAUUAGUUAGUUGGUGAGGUAAUGGCUCACCAAGGCGACGAUCAGUAGCCGACCUGAGAGGGUGAUCGGCCACAUUGGAACUGAGACACGGUCCAAACUCCUACGGGAGGCAGCAGUGGGGAAUAUUGCACAAUGGGCGAAAGCCUGAUGCAGCAACGCCGCGUGAGCGAUGAAGGCCUUCGGGUCGUAAAGCUCUGUCCUCAAGGAAGAUAAUGACGGUACUUGAGGAGGAAGCCCCGGCUAACUACGUGCCAGCAGCCGCCGUAACAC